rnacentral:rRNA from 1 species
UUGAACGCUGGCGGCAGGCCUAACACAUGCAAGUCGAACGGUAACAGGAAGCAGCUUGCUGCUUCGCUGACGAGUGGCGGACGGGUGAGUAAUGUCUGGGAAGCUGCCUGAUGGAGGGGGAUAACUACUGAAAACGGUAGCUAAUACCGCAUAAUGUCGCAAGACCAAAGAGGGGGACCUUCGGGCCUCUUGCCAUCGGAUGUGCCCAGAUGGGAUUAGCUUGUUGGUGGGGUAACGGCUCACCAAGGCGACGAUCCCUAGCUGGUCUGAGAGGAUGACCAGCCACACUGGAACUGAGACACGGUCCAGACUCCUACGGGAGGCAGCAGUGGGGAAUAUUGCACAAUGGGCGCAAGCCUGAUGCAGCCAUGCCGCGUGUAUGAAGAAGGCCUUCGGGUUGUAAAGUACUUUCAGCGGGGAGGAAGGGAGUAAAGUUAAUACCUUUGCUCAUUGACGUUACCCGCAGAAGAAGCACCGGCUAACUCCGUG